rnacentral:rRNA from 1 species
ACCUGCCCACUGAUUUAUUGAAUGGCCGCAGUAAUUUGACUGUGCAAAGGUAGCAUAAUCAUUAGUUUUUUAAUUAAAAGCUUGUAUGAAGGGUUGGACGAAGUAAAAUCUGUCUCUAUUUAAUUUAUAGUAGAAUUUAAUUUUUAAGUUAAAAAGCUUAAAUUUUUAUAAAAGACGAGAAGACCCUAUAGAUCUUUAUAUUUUUAUAAAUAAUUUUAAUUAGGAAUAUUUUAUUUUUUAUUUAUAUAAGUAUUUUAUUGGGGUAAUAAAGAGAUUAAAUUAAUUCUUUUUGAUAUAAAAUAUUAAUUAGUAUAUAUAUGAUCCAAUAAUUUUGAUUAUAAGAUUAAGUUACCUUAGGGAUAACAGCGUAAUUUUUUUAGAGAGUUCAUAUCGAUAAAAAAGUUUGCGACCUCGAUGUUGGAUUAAAAAUUAUUCUAGGUGCAGAAGUUUAGGAAUUUGGUCUGUUCGACCAUUAAAUUUUU